rnacentral:rRNA from 1 species
GUGUCAGCAGCCGCGGUAAUACGUAGGGUCCGAGCGUUGUCCGGAUUUAUUGGGCGUAAAGAGCUCGUAGGCGGCUCAGUAAGUCAGAUGUGAAAACUCAGGGCUCAACCCGGAGACGCCAUCUGAUACUGCUGUGGCUUGAGUCUGGUAGGGGAUCACGGAAUUCCUGGUGUAGCGGUGAAAUGCGCAGAUAUCAGGAGGAACACCGAUGGCGAAGGCAGUGAUCUGGGCCAGUACUGACGCUGAGGAGCGAAAGCGUGGGUAGCAAACAGGAUUAGAUACCCGCGUAGUCC